rnacentral:rRNA from 1 species
AACGAACGCUGGCGGCAGGCUUAACACAUGCAAGUCGAGCGCCCCGCAAGGGGAGCGGCAGACGGGUGAGUAACGCGUGGGAAUCUACCCAUCACUAUGGAACAACUCCGAGAAACUGGAGCUAAUACCGUAUACGUCCUUCGGGAGAAAGAUUUAUCGGUGAUGGAUGAGCCCGCGUUGGAUUAGCUAGUUGGUGGGGUAAUGGCCUACCAAGGCGACGAUCCAUAGCUGGUCUGAGAGGAUGAUCAGCCACACUGGGACUAAGACACGGCCCAGACUCCUACGGGAGGCAGCAGUGGGGAAUAUUGGACAAUGGGCGAAAGCCUGAUCCGGCCAUGCCGCGUGAGUGAUGACGGCCCUAGGGUUGUAAAGCUCUUUCGCAGGUGAAGAUAAUGACGGUAACCUGAGAAGAAGCCCCGGCUAACUUCGUGCCAGCCGCCGCCGUAACAC